rfam:Podospora anserina complete mitochondrial genome
GAGAGCCGUAUGCAGGGAAACUUGCACGUACGGUUCGGAGGGAGGUCUCUCGUUGCCAGUUCUAAUCUAUUGAUAAGGAUCACGGUGCGGGUUAUCGACCCUAC